rnacentral:rRNA from 1 species
GAUGAACGCUGGCGGCGUGCUUAACACAUGCAAGUCGAACGGGAAACCUUUUAAUGAAGCUUCGGCAGAUUUAGCUGGUUUCUAGUGGCGGACGGGUGAGUAACGCGUGGGUAACCUGCCUUAUACAGGGGGAUAACAGUCAGAAAUGACUGCUAAUACCGCAUAAGCGCACAGGACCGCAUGGUCCGGUGUGAAAAACUCCGGUGGUAUAAGAUGGACCGGCGUUGGAUUAGCUUGUUGGUGGGGUAACGGCUCACCAAGGCGACGAUACAUAGCCGGGCUGAGAGGGUGAACGGCCACAUUGGGACUGAGACACGGCCCAGACUCCUACGGGAGGCAGCAGUGGGGAAUAUUGCACAAUGGGGGAAACCCUGAUGCAGCGACGCCGGGUGAAGGAAGAAGUAUCUCGGGAUGUAAACUUCUAUCAGCAGGGAAGAUAGUGACGGUACCUGAAGAAGAAGCCCCGGCUAACUACGUG